CCUACGGGUGGCAGCAGUGGGGAAUAUUGGACAAUGGGGGGAACCCUGAUCCAGCCAUGCCGCGUGUGUGAAGAAGGCCCUCGGGUUGUAAAGCACUUUCAGUGAGGAAGAACGCCUGGUGGUUAAUACCCAUCAGGAAAGACAUCACUCACAGAAGAAGCACCGGCUAACUCCGUGCCAGCAGCCGCGGUAAUACGGAGGGUGCGAGCGUUAAUCGGAAUUACUGGGCGUAAAGCGCGCGUAGGUGGCUUGAUAAGCCGGUUGUGAAAGCCCCGGGCUCAACCUGGGAACGGCAUCCGGAACUGUCAAGCUAGAGUGCAGGAGAGGAAGGUAGAAUUCCCGGUGUAGCGGUGAAAUGCGUAGAGAUCGGGAGGAAUACCAGUGGCGAAGGCGGCCUUCUGGACUGACACUGACACUGAGGUGCGAAAGCGUGGGUAGCAAACAGGAUGAGAUACCCGGGUAGUC
rnacentral:rRNA from 1 species